GACGAACGCUGGCGGCGUGCUUAACACAUGCAAGUCGAACGAUGAAGCCUAGCUUGCUAGGUGGAUCAGUGGCGAACGGGUGAGUAAUACGUGAGUAACCUACCUUUAACUCUGGGAUAAGCCUGGGAAACUGGGUCUAAUACCGGAUACGACCAAUCUCCGCAUGGGGUGUUGGUGGAAAGCGUUAUGUCGUGGUUAUAGAUGGGCUCACGGCCUAUCAGCUUGUUGGUGAGGUAACGGCUCACCAAGGCGACGACGGGUAGCCGGCCUGAGAGGGUGACCGGCCACACUGGGACUGAGACACGGCCCAGACUCCUACGGGAGGCAGCAGUGGGGAAUAUUGCACAAUGGGCGCAAGCCUGAUGCAGCGACGCCGCGUGAGGGAUGACGGCCUUCGGGUUGUAAACCUCUGUUAGCAGGGAAGAAGAGAAAUUGACGGUACCUGCAGAGAAAGCGCCGGCUAACUACGUG
rnacentral:rRNA from 1 species